AUUGAACGCUGGCGGCAUGCCUUACACAUGCAAGUCGAACGGUAACGGGCCUUCGGGUGCCGACGAGAGGCGGACGGGUGAGGAACGCUUGGGAAUCUGCCUAUCAGCGGGGGACAACACGGGGAAACUCGUGCUAAUACCGCAUACGCUCUACGGAGGAAAGCCGGGGACCGCAAGGCCUCACGUUAUUGGAGCAGCCGAUGGCUGAUUAGCUAGUUGGUGAGGUAAAGGCUCACCAAGGCGACGAUCAGUAGCGGGUCUUAGAGGACGAUCCGCCACACUGGAACUGGGACACGGUCCAGACUCCUACGGGAGGCAGCAGUGGGGAAUCUUGGACAAUGGGCGAAAGCCUGAUUCAGCAAUGCCGCGUGCGUGAAGAAGGCCUUCGGGUUGUAAAGCGCUUUUGUCUGGGAGCAAAUCCUGGCCUCUAAUACAGGUCGGGGAUGAGAGUACCAGAAGAAUAAGGACCGGCUAACUACGUGCCAGCAGCCGCAGUAACAC
rnacentral:rRNA from 1 species